rnacentral:rRNA from 1 species
UACGAAGGGGGCUAGCGUUGUUCGGAUUUACUGGGCGUAAAGCGCACGUAGGCGGAUCGUUAAGUCGGGGGUGAAAUCCUGGAGCUCAACUCCAGAACUGCCUUUGAUACUGGAGAGCUAGAGUCCGGAAGAGGUGAGUGGAACUGCGAGUGUAGAGGUGAAAUUCGUAGAUAUUCGCAAGAACACCAGUGGCGAAGGCGGCUCACUGGUCCGGUACUGACGCUGAGGUGCGAAAGCGUGGGGAGCAAACAGG